rnacentral:tRNA from 1 species
CACGGUGGUCUAGCGGUUAGGACGCUGGCCUUGUAAUCCUGGGGUCUCGGGUUCGAUUCCCGGCGGUGCCC